rnacentral:piRNA from 1 species
UCAUGUCGAGAAUUCAACUGU